CAGCAGCCGCGGUAAUACGAAGGGUGCAAGCGUUAAUCGGAAUUACUGGGCGUAAAGCGUGCGCAGGCGGUUUGUUAAGACAGAUGUGAAAUCCCCGGGCUCAACCUGGGAACUGCAUUUGUGACUGGCAAGCUAGAGUGUGGCAGAGGGGGGUGGAAUUCCGCGUGUAGCAGUGAAAUGCGUAGAUAUGCGGAGGAACACCGAUGGCGAAGGCAGCCCCCUGGGCCAACACUGACGCUCAUGCACGAAAGCGUGGGGAGCAAACAGGAUUAGAUACCCGCGUAGUCCCUGUCUCUUAUAC
rnacentral:rRNA from 1 species